AAAAGCACCUCAAUUGCCAAACAAUACUUCUAGGGAUAUUCGAGAGUUGCAACCAUAGGGAAGUCGUCCAAUAAAAUAUGCCAUGUCACCUGAGUUUUUAUAAAUAAAAAAAAAAAGAAAAGAAAAGAAAGAGAGACCAAAAUAGAAAUAGAAGAGAAAUGUAGAGUAGAACUCAUCUUCUUCAUGCUCUUCGGUGGUGGGGGUCUUUGUUAUCCAAGGGAUUGAAUACUUUUGGAGCUUCUCUUCGUUGUCAACGAGUGAGCUUGUCAUUGAUGUCAUAUUAGGCUGAACGCAAAAUAUCUUGUUUUUGCCGUCACUGAAAGUUGAGCUUCCAUUGUAUUCCAUAGUUCAGCAAGUCAAAUGGAAGGGUACCUUCUCUUCAUCGGAGCUAGAGACUGUCUUCGUUAAAGGCUGAGCCAACUUCAUGAAGAUUGUCGUUGGUGAGUUGUUGAACAUUGAGGCUAGGAAAAAGCAAGGAACAUAUCUGCUACACUUCCUCUCUCUCAGUUGGGUGUUUUUGGGAUUGUUAUCAUGGGAAAAGGAGAAGAACACCCAUCUCCGUCAACACAAACUAGUUUAAAUACACCAACCCCAGUAUGUUGUAUUAUUUAAAAAAUUUGUUGGAUUGAGUUGGUGUUUAUUUUCAUAAUACAUUAGCAUCAUGGUUGCUAAUUA